rnacentral:rRNA from 1 species
UACGGGGGGGGCAAGCGUUGUUCGGAAUUACUGGGCGUAAAGGGCUCGUAGGCGGCCAACUAAGUCGGACGUGAAAUCCCCAGGCUCAACCUGGGAACUGCGUCCGAUACUGGAUGGCUUGAAUCCGGGAGAGGGAUGCAGAAUUCCAGGUGUAGCGGUGAAAUGCGUAGAUAUCUGGAGGAACACCGGUGGCGAAGGCGGCAUCCUGGACCGAGAUUGACGCUGAUGCGCGAAAGCCAGGGGAGCAAACGGG